GAGUUGUAUGAAAGGAGAGAAGGUUAGCACUCCCCUUGAUAAGGAUGGAAGAGGUCCUAGUGGCCUUUACAACAUAUGUACGGUUAAGUCAUUGCCACCUAUUCUGUGACAUCUAACCAAAUAAUUCU